CUCAGCUUCAUAGAAAGAGGGUCCGUUCUAGGUUAUCACUCAAACUCCAGUUGUAACGGUGAUUCCCCGAGUCCACAGAAAUACAUCUUCUGCUUUGAUCCCAACUAACCCGAAAGACACAAGCACACAGUACCUGAAUCACUGCAUCUAGCCUACAGCUGUGAUUUCGCUUUGAUGGAGAUAUCAAGAAUCAGAAGUUUGCCUUUCUGUCCCAACCUGUUUGACAAGCAUGAUAAUAAGCACCCCGCGCCGUUCCGCAAGCUGCCAUGUCUCCACUAGAGGAGGAUCUUCCAUCUACCUCUCAACCACAGAAGAAACCACACAAAUGUUCCAUCUUUGUGAGGAUGUUUUCCGCCAUCAACUAAGGCCUGCAGAACACCUUCAAACAGUUCUCCAACAAGACCAUGUAAUUCACUUGACUCUUUAACUAAAGGUCCUUUAAUUGCAUUCCAUUUGAUUGUGUUUCUUUCUAAUAUCUUAGGCAUGGACUCAACAACAUGUCUCUCAAAUAUAAUAAGUUAAGACUCAUAAAUGCAUAUAAGAACGUUCAUUUGGAUUUUUUGCUUGGGAAUUACAUCCCCAUAAUAUCAGUAUAACGUCCCCCUAAUAUCCAUACAAGGUCCCCCAAUAUCACCAUAUCGUCUCCAUAACACCCCUCUAAUAUUCCCAUAAUGUCCCCAUAAUAUUACCAUCCCCUCACUACUGUUUCUUAAUAUAAUGCCUUAGCCAUGGCCCCUGGAUAGUAAUGUUAAGUGCCAAUCAGAAAAUGUUUCUGCAAUUACAGAUCACAGCCACCUGAGGGUGUCACCCCCUCAUAAUUGCAGGGUCCAUGCAUUGCAGGUGAAUAGAAUAUCUACGUUCUUUCACCAGUGGGUGACGAGGGUCAGUGGGAACCUCUAUAAUACAGUACAAAGUAUUGUGAAAGG